rnacentral:tRNA from 1 species
GCACCUAACUCGGGAGAGCGCAUGAUUCGCAAUCAUGAGGUCAGGGGUUCGAUCCCCCUAUGCUCCA